CUCCGUAGGGGAACCUGAACCUGCGGGAGGGGAUCAUUACAAGUGACCCCCGGUUUACCACCGGGAUGUUCAUAACCCUUUGUUGUCCGACUCUGUUGCCUCCGGGGCGACCCUGCCUUCGGGCGGGGGCUCCGGGUGGACACUUCAAACUCUUGCGUAACUUUGCAGUCUGAGUAAACUUAAUUAAUAAAUUAAAACUUUUAACAACGGAUCUCUUGGUUCUGGCAUCGAUGAAGAACGCAGCGAAAUGCGAUAAGUAAUGUGAAUUGCAGAAUUCAGUGAAUCAUCGAAUCUUUGAACGCACUUUGCGCCCCCUGGUAUUCCGGGGGGCAUGCCUGUUCGAGCGUCAUUUCACCACUCAAGCCUCGCUUGGUAUUGGGCAACGCGGUCCGCCGCGUGCCUCAAAUCGACCGGCUGGGUCUUCUGUCCCCUAAGCGUUGUGGAAACUAUUCGCUAAAGGGUGCUCGGGAGGCUACGCCGUAAAACAACCCCAUUUCUAAGGUUGACCUCGGAUCAGGUAGGAAAGGCGCUGAAA
rnacentral:rRNA from 1 species